UACCAGCACCCCGAGUUGUCGGGACGAUUAUUUGGGCCUAAAGCAUCCGUAGCCUGUUCUGCAAGUCCUCCGUUUAAAUCCACCUGCUUAACGGAUGGGCUGCGGGGGAUACCGCAGAGCUAGGAGGCGGGAGAGGCAAACGGUACUCAGUGGGUAGGGGUAAAAUCCAUUUGAUCUACUGAAGACCACCAGUGGCGAAGGCGUUUGCCAGAACGCGCUCGACGGUGAGGGAUGAAAGCUGGGGGAGCAAACCGG
rnacentral:rRNA from 1 species